rnacentral:rRNA from 1 species
GACGAACGCUGGCGGCGUGCUUAACACAUGCAAGUCGAACGGAAAGGCCUCUUUCGGGGGGUACUCGAGUGGCGAACGGGUGAGUAACACGUGAGUAACCUGCCCUUGACUUUGGGAUAACUUCAGGAAACUGGGGCUAAUACUGGAUAGGAGCUCCUGCUGCAUGGUGGGGGUUGGAAAGUUUCGGCGGUUGGGGAUGGACUCGCGGCUUAUCAGCUUGUUGGUGGGGUAGUGGCUUACCAAGGCUUUGACGGGUAGCCGGCCUGAGAGGGUGACCGGCCACAGUGGGACUGAGAUACGGCCCAGACUCCUACGGGAGGCAGCAGUGGGGAAUAUUGCACAAUGGGUGGAAGCCUGAUGCAGCAACGCCGUGUGCGGGAUGACGGCCUUCGGGUUGUAAACCGCUUUCGCUCAUGACGAAGCUUUGUGUGACGGUAGUGGGUAAAGAAGCACCGGCUAACUACGUG